CUGGUAUCUAUGAUGAGUUUAUUUCCAUUGAUUGAUUUAUCAAGUGCAUUCAAGUAAUAAUUUGAGAAUAGUUUUCUCUGUUAUCAUAUACACAUUAUAUUGGCAGUAUACACUGUUUACUGUUUAAAUAUAAAACAAAACACUGCCCCCUAAUAUUCUCCAAUAGGAAAGACUGUAUAUAUACAUGUAAUAACCUGAGAAUUUAAAGUUCAACAGAGAAGAUUUUAUCAAAAGUAUUGAAUUUUAUUACUCAAUUUUAACUGAAACUUGAUUAUACCAUAGUGCCAGAGUUAUAUGCUAAUUAAUUAUGAGGCUUUGAUAAUUGCUCUUUUUUUAAUGACAUUUACCUGUUAAACUGCCCCUUUUCUGACUAGCACCCUGCCCUUACCAAAUCCUGGCUAGAACACUGAUAACAUUUUUCACUAUUUUUUUUUAGAUUUUCAAAUGGAUGGCAAAAACUAAAACAUAAUGAGUCAUCAUUUAAGGGCAAAAACUCUAGUAAAGAGUCUUCUGAUGAUUUCUGUCGUGUUGACUUAUUUGUAGAUCUCGUCUUGUUGAUCAAUUUGCUAUAUAAUGUUCUCUCUACACAAAUAUAAUCAACUAAGUCCUCUGUGCAUUUUGCUCACAUUUAUUACAAAUCUAUAAUGUAUAAUUGACAAAACAAAAAUUCAGUCAGAGACUAAUCAAAAUGCAACAUUCAGCAAUACAUAAAAACAAUUGUUAAACAU
rnacentral:lncRNA from 1 species